GAUACCAAGCUAACUCGUAAAUCAUCAUGGUGAAAAGCUAUAACGAGGAGAACAAAAAGUUCACUUGUCCCAUAGUAAUUCUCAUAUAAACUUUAAAGGGCCAGAAGAGUAUGAGAUCGCAAGCAAAUGACCUUAAACUUUGGGAGAAUUAUAAGAUCAGAUCAGAAUUACCUGAUGUAGAAUCAAUUGAGCGCAUGGUGGAGUAAAAUCGAUAUUUUGAAUCACUCUAAUGGGUAAUCAACACCGUUUCGUCGAUCAAUAGUCCUUGUUCUUCUUUUAACCAAGUUUGCACAUGCCAAAAUUUUCCUUUAACAAUCAUGUACUUGAUCUUCAAUCGCAGAAAUUGUACUUUGUUUUUUCUCAUAACACUUGAGUCAGAAAACAUCAAUACUCUACCGGAGCAUGCGGCUAUCCUACUAUGAAGAUAGUAUUAAUUUUCCCACUAUGUAUUUGGUAAAUUUUUAUUACCAUGAGACCAAGAAUAGUCAUUUAUUUAACUUAUUCGGUUACUUAAUUUUAAUUUUAGUUACUAAACCAAUUGUUUACAAUACCUAUCACUAGUAUAGUUACACACUCGAAUGACAAUGAUACAAGGUAAUCAAGUCAAUAAAUCUCCCAUAGAGAUUAAUAUAGCGUUUGUACAUAGACUAAAUAUGCCUAAUAAAUGCAAUUUUUU